rnacentral:lncRNA from 1 species
CCUCCCCUUAACCCGAUCCCUGGGCGAAAAGGGCGUAAUAUUAACUACUGGCUUGCUAUCCCUAGCCUCCCCUAGUAAUUAAUACCGCAUUAUAAACAGAAGUUAGCGCAAUUGAUCGUCCUACCCCUAUCCCUAGGUGGUAUUGCAAAAUCAAGAGAUUACUCACCAGUUCAUGUCAUUAUUGUACGUCCCCAUAUCAAUAAAGACAAACAUCAAUAUACC